GUACGAACCCGCAUCUCAGCCAGGUAUUCCUUCAUGAAGUUUCUCUUCAGGGAACAGAAGUUCAAUCUAUUCAGCACCCCUUCUUUUACAUGACCUACUUUAAACCUGAUACAAUGCAGCAUGCUCAGAGAGGACAAUGUUAUUGUUGUUGGCUCUAACACGUCAAAACAACAGUCUUGAAAACUUGUGUCUAAAGAUGUGAUGUCACUAUGUUGACAGCAGAGCGGAGAUGAAGCAUCCUGGUGGAAGCCUUUGAUUUCUCUGCACCCUCUACUGCCUGAAACAGCGCUGCGGGUCCUCACACCUCUCUGAGUCGAUCCUUCCCUUUCCGGAGGUACUACAGCUGUUAGUAUUAUUUCCUAAGACAGUGUGUUUAUCUUGUGAGGAUGUGAAAGGGGAAAAGAUGGGAAACAGUUUUUCUGUGCACUUUAUUGUCAUCCACUGAAGAGCGUUCCCUGAAAUGAAAGUGAACCCUCCGCCAGGUCAGUAUUCCCUUUGCAUGCUGCACUCAGGUGCGUGUCACAGAGAGUGUCCAUCCAAACAAA
ensembl:lncRNA